rnacentral:lncRNA from 8 species
UUAAAUCCUGAUGUUGGUAAUAAAACAUGUGAGAAUUAACUGACAACACCUACCUGGCUCCAGGCGCUAUACAUGCUCCUCUCAAUAAUAUGUGUUUGAAUGUCUGGGGGUUGGGAAUACAUAUCUGUCAUAACAUAUCUACGAUACUAUUAUUCUCUGAUGUCAUUGAUGUUUGUGUGUGUGUGUGUGUGUAAUGUGUGUGUGCAUACAGUGUGUUGCACAUCAAAACAGUCUCUUUCUCUCUCCAGGUUGAUUUAGAACCAGAGGGGAAGGUCUAUGUAAUUAUCGAUUUGUCAGGAACUUCUGCUGAAGCCUCAGCUGCCAAUGAGAAUGAGGAGCGUGUGUUCCGAGAGCGGAUUGGUCCUCGGCGGCGGCAGGGGGCCGUCCGGAGGCGUGUCCACCAGGUUAACGGACACAAGUUCAUGGCCACGUAUCUACGGCAACCUACCUACUGCUCACACUGCCGAGACUUCAUCUGGGGAGUGCUGGGAAAGCAGGGUUAUCAAUGCCAGAGUGAGAACAAGUUGUCUCUCUUUCUGUCUGGGUUCUUGAAUGAUUAUGAUAGUUCUAGACUCUAGAAUCUAGAGUGAUACCUGAACAUUCUACAAUGAAUUGAGACGUUAUUGAGAUGCACAUUGUCUGUCUGUUGUAUUAUUAUCGUGUGUUGUUCAGUGUGAAAGUGUGUAAUUGUGUGUGUGUUUAUUGCAGUGUGCACAUGCGUGGUCCACAAGCGCUGCCAUGAGCACAUCAUCACCAAGUGUGCCGGGAUGAAGAAGCAGGAGGAUACACCAGAGGAGGUAUUGCGGACUGUUUGUGGUGGCCAUGUUGACCAAUGAGUUACCGCAAUGUGUUUUGGUUUGGAACCCAGAUGGUCAUGAGCCGUCGUAAUCUUCGCUCUCUCGCCCCCACUACUCUCUCCUCCCCUAUCCUAUCACCCUUCUCCCUCCUGACUCCUGAUUCUACCUCUCCUCCCCUAUCCUAUCACCCUUCUCCCUCCUGAUUCUACCUCUCCUCCCCUAUCCUAUCACCCUUCUGACUCCUGAUUCUACCUCUCCUCUCCUCCCCUAUCCUAUCACCCUUCUCCCUCCUGACUCCUGAUUCUGCCUCUCCUCCCCUAUCCUAUCACCCUUCUCCCUCCUGAUGCUACCUCUCCUCCCCUAUCCUAUCACCCUUCUCCCUCCUGAUUCUACCUCUCCUCCCCUAUCCUAUCACCCUUCUCCCUCCUGAUUCUACCUCUCCUCCGCUAUCCUAUCACCCUUCUCCCUCCUGAUUCUACCUCUCCUCCCCUAUCCUAUCACCCUUCUCCCUCCUGACUCCUGAUUCUACCUCUCCUCCGCUAUCCUAUCACCCUUCUCCCUCCUGAUUCUACCUCUCCUCCCCUAUCCUAUCACCCUUCUCCCUCCUGAUUCUACCUCUCCUCCCCUAUCCUAUCACCCUUCUCCCUCCUGAUUCUACCUCUCCUCCGCUAUCCUAUCACCCUUCUCCCUCCUGAUGCUGCCUCUCCUCCGCUAUCCUAUAACCCUUCUCCCUCCUGAUUCUGCCUCUCCUCUCCUCUCCUCCCCUCUCCCAUCACCCUUCUCCCUCCUG